rnacentral:lncRNA from 14 species
CAUUUGAGAAAAAAACCCAGCAAUGACCCAGAAAUUUAGCAAUGAACUGUAAAGUUAUGAUGAAAACCUGUAAUUUAUUCCAGAUUUACUUCUGUCACCCUUCAAAUGAAACAGGUCAGUUGAGAGGCUGCUAUAAAAACCAGAAAUGUGAGCACCUACAAUUGGUAUGAAGUAGUCUGCUGCAUGCAGUAUUUGCCAGCAUUUGAAGAAAGUCUUUUGACUCCUGAAGAGAGGGAAGCUCUCAUGAACAGAACUAUGGUAAAAUGUAAGGUAAGAAAACAAUAUCUACUUAACCCAGAUUUAAUAUUCCUAGCAAGGCUGCUUUAUAGUAGGGGGUUUGGGUAAUUUUACUGUGCUCUAGAAAAUCAGACUAAAAUUGGUAUGUAUGUAGGCCCAUUCUGAUCUAUUGCAGCAAAGUCUUCUCUUUAGACAGUGAAUCUCCACAGCCCUGGUUACCCUUACUAAGUUCAGUAAGACUAAAGAAUUUGUCUCUUAGCUAAGUAUUGGCUAGCCGUGCAACUGAACAUUUCUUCCCUGUUUUCAAGACUGUGUGGCUGAGAAUAUUCCUUCUUUUAAUAUAUUGCAGAGGGGCUUGUAAAUACAUAUCAACACUCAAGUAAAGUAAUGGCCAGGCUAUUUGUGGGAAUUCUUAAAGAGCUAAGGCCAUGUAGUGAGCGAU